AGUUUGAUCCUGGCUCAGGAUGAACGCUAGCUACAGGCUUAACACAUGCAAGUCGAGGGGCAGCAUGAACUUAGCUUGCUAAGUUUGAUGGCGACCGGCGCACGGGUGAGUAACACGUAUCCAACCUUCCGUUUACUCAGGGAUAGCCUUUCGAAAGAAAGAUUAAUACCUGAUAGUAUGGUGAGAUUGCAUGAUAGCACCAUUAAAGAUUUAUUGGUAAACGAUGGGGAUGCGUUCCAUUAGGUAGUAGGCGGGGUAACGGCCCACCUAGCCGACGAUGGAUAGGGGUUCUGAGAGGAAGGUCCCCCACAUUGGAACUGAGACACGGUCCAAACUCCUACGGGAGGCAGCAGUGAGGAAUAUUGGUCAAUGGGCGAGAGCCUGAGCCAGCCAAGUAGCGUGAAGGAUGAAGGUCCUACGGAUUGUAAACUUCUUUUAUACGGGAAUAAAGUAUCCUACGUGUAGGAUUUUGUAUGUACCGUAUGAAUAAGCAUCGGCUAACUCCGUGCCAGCAGCCGCGGUAAUACGGAGGAUGCGAGCGUUAUCCGGAUUUAUUGGGUUUAAAGGGAGCGCAGACGGGAGAUUAAGUCAGUUGUGAAAGUUUGCGGUUCAACCGUAAAAUUGCAGUUGAUACUGGUUUCCUUGAGUGCAGUUGAGGCAGGCGGAAUUCGUGGUGUAGCGGUGAAAUGCUUAGAUAUCACGAAGAACCCCGAUUGCGAAGGCAGCUUGCUAAACUGUAACUGACGUUCAUGCUCGAAAGUGUGGGUAUCAAACAGGAUUAGAUACCCUGGUAGUCCACACGGUAAACGAUGGAUACUCGCUGUUGGCGAUAUACUGUCAGCGGCCAAGCGAAAGCAUUAAGUAUCCCACCUGGGGAGUACGCCGGCAACGGUGAAACUCAAAGGAAUUGAC
rnacentral:rRNA from 1 species